rnacentral:rRNA from 1 species
GUGAUCUAUCCAUGGCCAGGAUGAAGGUGCGGUAACACGCACUGGAGGUCCGAACCCAUAUCUGUUGCAAUAGAUCGGGAUGACUUGUGGCUAGGGGUGAAAGGCCAAUCAAACUCGGAGAUAGCUGGUUCUCCGCGAAAUCUAUUUAGGUAGAGCGUCGAGCGAAUACCCACGGGGGUAGAGCACUGGAUGGGCUAUGGGGACUCACCGUCUUACUGAUCCUAACCAAACUCCGAAUACCGUGGAGUACUACUCGGCAGACACACGGCGGGUGCUAACGUCCGUCGUGAAGAGGGCAACAACCCUGACCUCCAGCUAAGGUCCCCAAGUCAUGGCUAAGUGGGAAAGGAUGUGAGGAUCCCAAAACAACCAGGAUGUUGGCUUAGAAGCAGCCAUCAUUUAAAGAAAGCGUAACAGCUCACUGGUCUAAAUAAGGGUCUUUGCGCCGAAAAUGUAACGGGGCUGAAGCCAUGCACCGAAGCUGAGGCUUAGACAUUCUUACGAAUAUCUAGGGGC